GCCCCGGUGGCUCAUCGGUCUAAGUGCGCGUACCAUAAAGGCUGUGUCCUGGGUUCGAAUCCGACUCGGGUCA